UUUUUAUUGCUUCAUUUUUGA
rnacentral:piRNA from 1 species